GAAUUGGAGACAAAAAAUAGUUUAAAGUUCAUUACUGUCUGGAAAAGCUAUCAGAGGAAGGCACUUGGUCACCAGAUUGCCUGGCAUGUAGGUUUUGAAUAGCUAAUCCUCUUUUUUUUCCCCUGAUGAAGAGGAUGUGUUUAAGAAUCAUUUGGAGAGGCCUAAGGUUGCAUUUUUCCAUUGCUUACAUGGCUGCACUGGGGACUCGAAGUUUUCUUCAAGAGAAGAUCUGAGCUCUUUAAAGAAUAGGAAAGAAUGAAAUGUGCUGAUAAGCAAGGCAUUGAUGAGACAGGCAGAGGCAUACAGGCUUUGAAUAAGCAGGGAACUUUACCAUGCACGCAUCCUGGAUCUUUUUGUACCAGUAUGAUUGGUGUGCCCCUUCC